CAAUAUUCAACAUUUAUAUGUUCGCGUUGCCAACUAGAAUUUGUUUUCAUGGUGUAAAUCGAUUGGCAAGGCGUAUUUAAUCAACUGCCAGAGAACGUACGCUCUCAAUUUCUACGUUCUCUAACAGCAAAUGACAACCAGCUGAUGUGAAUUGUAUUUGUUUAUAAACAAAAGCUAUUUCUGUACUGGAGGUUGAGUCUUUCGAAGGAAUUUCUGGCUUUAAUGCAGAAAUAAGGGAAGACAUGGGUGAGGGAAGCGUGCAUAUUUUUAUUAAAACUUCCCGGCCAGUGACAUGUUAAGAAUUGCAGUACUUGAAAUGAAAGGACAUACAAGCUACUGAAGGAAAUGUCAAGAGCACGGCAUCAGGAAACAAUAGAACAUUUCUUGUGCACUUGUGCCGCAUUGGCAAGGCAGCGCUUUAAACAUUUGGGGCCCCAGGAUGUGAGCGUCUAGAAAAUGUGGCGUUGGUGAGGCCACAAAAUCUGUUAAAACUCGCUUGAAGCGGGUGCAUCCUUAAGGAUGACUACUCAUCAUGGAAUAUGUUACGGCCACCCAUGUGCUAUCACUAAGAAACAAAAUGACAUAGGCGUAACUUAUUAGCGUACUAGACUAACCUAGCUAUACUAACAACUUUGUAAACUUCGAAAUCCACAAAAUUUAAAUGUACGUUUUGUGAAAGACGAAAUCUGCAAAGCUAGUCGAAGACACCUUGAUAGACGUUCUAAUCAUGGAAACUUAGUGGCAAUAAAACUAUUGGACAACAGCAUGGAUGUUCGACAGUUAAAAAUAAUUAACAUUUUGGACCUUUCAGACAGAUUUUGAGUAGUUUUAAGAAUAUUUUUUAGCAAAUUAUGUUAAUGAAGAAUAUAUUGAUUAGUCUCAUUUAUCUAUUUAUAAAAUCCGCUGAUUGUCUUCAGUUAGAUUGCAACUAAAAUAUAUAGCAAAACAAUAAAAAAAGAACGUUUAUAUA